rnacentral:rRNA from 1 species
UGGGGAAUAUUGCACAAUGGGCGCAAGCCUGAUGCAGCCAUGCCGCGUGUGUGAAGAAGGCCUUCGGGUUGUAAAGCACUUUCAGCGGGGAGGAAGGCGUUAAGGUUAAUAACCUUGGCGAUUGACGUUACCCGCAGAAGAAGCACCGGCUAACUCCGUGCCAGCAGCCGCGGUAAUACGGAGGGUGCAAGCGUUAAUCGGAAUUACUGGGCGUAAAGCGCACGCAGGCGGUCUGUCAAGUCGGAUGUGAAAUCCCCGGGCUCAACCUGGGAACUGCAUUCGAAACUGGCAGGCUAGAGUCUUGUAGAGGGGGGUAGAAUUCCAGGUGUAGCGGUGAAAUGCGUAGAGAUCUGGAGGAAUACCGGUGGCGAAGGCGGCCCCCUGGACAAAGACUGACGCUCAGGUGCGAAAGCGUGGGGAGCAAAUAGG